AAAUUACCUCCAGAGUCAGCUCAUCUGGGAAAAAUAAGCCUCUACUGUUCCUCCAUUUUUUAUAAUGCUACAACUAGUUUGGUUGUAGCUGAACACACUCAGCCUAUGGCAGGAAUCCAGAAGGGAUGUUUGAGGCUGGAAGCAUCAGUUACGAAACGAGCCAGGGAAGAGCGUUCAGGCAAGAGGAGGAAGAUCGGCAGCCUGAUUUGGGAUGUGCUGUGGAAACACACUUGUGGACAGAUGCGAGAUGCACGUAGGAGUUAGAACUGAAAGGAUUGGCCGGAGGAACCAAAAGUGACUGAAAAGGACUCAGAGCAUUUUGGCGUGAGCCAUGAGGAGUCACUUCAAGGAAGAGAGGGUGAGAGGAAUCAGAGUCGUGGAGAAACCUUAAGAUCACUGGGUGUCAGUUGCUUCCACAGAUGAGGUGCCGGGUGAGGAGGCCUCCAGGAGGUACACAACUCGUGUGUGGGAGCCCAGAACAGUGUGGGGGGAACCAGGCGGAAUGGAGUUAUUCUGAUGAUUAAUUAGUAUUUUCAUCUGAAGUCUAGGCUUAAUAAUCUGUUGUCAGUAUGCUAA
ensembl:lncRNA